rnacentral:lncRNA from 1 species
AUCGCCCACAUCUGCUCAGUGAAAGGAUGAAGAAUGGGUGACAGUGAACAGCACAGAGGGGAGCAAGACCAGCUCCAUCCCACGUGGAGGAUUUAGGAAUGGCUGGCACCAAGAUCUGAGAAUCGCUCUAUAAUCAGAAAACGGGCACAAGGGAAACUGAGCGAUCAUCGAAUCCAGCUUUCUCCCUUCUCAGGUGAGGAGAUCGCAGUCCAAAGAGCCAGAGAUGCUUCCCCAAAGCCCAAAGUCCACAGGGAAAGCCAGCCUCCAAACCUGCGCUGGAGCCCAGCACUCCUACCUGUCCCCGCCAGAGGCUGCUUCCUGCAGAGGGGCCUCUGGCCUGGACAGCAGCCCGAGGCUCCUGUUAUUUCAGCGAGCUCGAUUUUCCAGAUCGCAUAGCGGUGAGAACAGCCCAUGUCUCAGCUUACAGAAGUCAAAGAGAAAGAUGAAGGCUGCUCCUUCACUCAGACGCUCUCCUUUUCCCGGUCUGAUAAAGGGUACCAAACACGAGAUAUACAAACGGCGCUUCCCACCUGUGUCUCCCAUCUUGGAACCAUGAGGCAGAGAUCUCCUUAUGUGUGGCCAUCAGGAAGCAGAACAGGGCUGGACCCAGGACUCGCGGCCUUCCGCCCACCCUGCUGCAUCACCAGCUGCCUCUCGCAUUCCUCACUUCCUGCUGAGCUCCAUACUGCAGCCCAGGCCUGCCUGAGAACCGCAGGCAUGGUCGCAGCACUUCCCACUUCAGUCUAUCCUCCAUCCACGGUUCCCCGUAGCCCUGAGGCCGGAAUCCUGCAGAGGGGGUUCCAAGACUCCCCGCGUGCAUCUGCCUUCCUCUCUGUCCCCAGCCACCGUCACACCCCCACCGGCAGGACCGUCACCCAGGCCGUGGAAGAGGGGAUCCCCUGCUCUGAUCUCCAAGCAGUUUGAAGAUGGAGCCUGUCCCAAUCAUCGCC